AGAGUUUGAUCCUGGCUCAGGAUGAACGCUGGCGGUAUGCCUUAUACAUGCAAGUCGUACGAGAGUUUUUAACUCUAGUGGCGGACGGGUGAGUAACACGUAAGAAUUUGCCUUUAGGAGGGGGACAACAACUGGAAACGGUUGCUAAUACCCCAUAUGCUUUCGAGUGAAAUGGAUUUCCGCCUAAAGAGAAGCUUGCGGCUGAUUAGCUUGUUGGUAGGGUAAUGGCCUACCAAGGCGACGAUCAGUAUCUGGUUUGAGAGGACGAUCAGACACACUGGAACUGAGACACGGUCCAGACUCCUACGGGAGGCAGCAGUAGGGAAUUUUCCGCAAUGGGCGAAAGCCUGACGGAGCAAUACCGCGUGAGGGAUGACUGCCUAUGGGUUGUAAACCUCUUUUUUCAGGGAGGAAUAAAUGACGUGUACCUGAAGAAUAAGCAUCGGCUAACUCCGUGCCAGCAGCCGCGGUAAGACGGAGGAUGCAAGUGUUAUCCGGAAUCACUGGGCGUAAAGCGUCUGUAGGUGGCUCGACAAGUCAACUGUUAAAUCUUGAAGCUCAACUUCGAAAUCGCAGUCGAAACUAUCGAACUAGAGUAUAGUAGAGGUAAAGGGAAUUUCCAGUGGAGCGGUGAAAUGCGUAGAGAUUGGAAAGAACACCGAUGGCGAAGGCACUUUACUGGGCUAUUACUGACACUCAGAGACGAAAGCUAGGGUAGCAAAUGGGAUUAGAUACCCCAGUAGUCCUAGCCGUAAACAAUGGAUACUAGGUGUUGAACAGAUCGACCUGUGCAGUACCAAAGCU
rnacentral:rRNA from 1 species